UGGGGAAUUUUGGACAAUGGGCGAAAGCCUGAUCCAGCAAUGCCGCGUGUGUGAAGAAGGCCUUCGGGUUGUAAAGCACUUUUGUCCGGAAAGAAAUCCUUGGCUCUAAUACAGUCGGGGGAUGACGGUACCGGAAGAAUAAGCACCGGCUAACUACGUGCCAGCAGCCGCGGUAAUACGUAGGGUGCAAGCGUUAAUCGGAAUUACUGGGCGUAAAGCGUGCGCAGGCGGUUUGCUAAGACCGAUGUGAAAUCCCCGGGCUCAACCUGGGAACUGCAUUGGUGACUGGCAGGCUAGAGUAUGGCAGAGGGGGGUAGAAUUCCACGUGUAGCAGUGAAAUGCGUAGAGAUGUGGAGGAAUACCGAUGGCGAAGGCAGCCCCCUGGGCCAAUACUGACGCUCAUGCACGAAAGCGUGGGGAGCAAACAGGAUUAGAUACCCUGGUAGUCCACGCCCUAAACGAUGUCAACUAGUUGUUGGGGGUUCAUUUCCUUAGUAACGUAGCUAACGCGUGAAGUUGACCGCCUGGGGGAGUACGGUCGCAAGAUUAAAACUCAAAUGAAUUGAC
rnacentral:rRNA from 1 species